UAAUAACGCUAGGUUCUCUCCAGCAGUUGACACAUCAGAUUUUAAAAUGCAUAUGAGAGUGACAUGUCAAUAAAUGAAAAAAAUUUAGAGAACCAAUCAGUUCAUUUCAUUAUAUCCACGUACAUUUACUCCCUUCCACCUCGGAUUCUUAUCUCUUCCAUCCUAGCUCAACAAUGGCGAAUUCAAUGGCCACGCUUUCCAGAAGACUCUACCGAUCUCUCCUAUCCAACCCCAGAUUCUCCCAAUUUCCCAGAUCUUCCUGCACCAACAACAACAACAUCGACGAGUCGUCAUCAUCCUCCUCCAUCUCAGACACCGAAUCGCCCCACGAACCCAACGGUUCGGAUCCGAACCAUCGAUUCUCCGGUGAUGAUCGCGUGAUGGAGGAGCGUCCUCUCGACAACGGCCUCGACUCCGGCAUUUUCUCCUCUCCCCCGGAUAAUUUCAAUCCCUAAAUCCUUUUCUCCUGCAAGUAGGGGAGGAUGUGGAAGAAACUUUGCAGAGCUUCACUUCCAAGCUUGGAUUUUCACCGAUCUCUUCACCGGCAAGACCAAUCCCACCUUACGGAAAGCAAAGUCGGCAAAGGUUAUCUCUUUGAUUUGGAGUUUGCAGAGAGACUACCUGUGAUGGCCGGCGAAUCAGAGACGAAAACGGAAGAGAUAGAGUGUGUCUAACCAGUGGGUGCUGGUCAGAUAGGUUCAAGAAUCGCACAGCUCGCCGCCACGAACGGCCUUGACGUUAGGCGCAUCCCUCUCAAGCCACCACAGCUAUCUCUUCCUCAGCUAUCUCUUCCUCCGUCAAUCGUUUCUUCUCCAAAGGCCUAAUCACCACCAAAGCAAGAUUCAAUUGAUUAUCCUUAAAAGAAUAUACUUUCCUCAUGGGAACUUAUUACAAAUGAUAUCAUUCAUGCCGUCGUCGAGGGUUUCAAGUUAAUAGAGACUUUGGCAAGACAAACAUGAACGUUCAUGGUACAGGUCCCAUACAUUCUUCAGAAUGGUGAUUGAGAGCAGGGGAAACGAAAACACUUCUAGAGAUGCUUUUUAGUCUUGAAUUUGGUUGACUUUGCUGGAUCUUUGCGAAUUGCUAAAACUGGCGCUGGUGGAGUUCGCUUGAUGUAAGGAAAUACAUAAAUAAGAGCUUAAUGAUUCUUGGCAAUGUCAUAAUAAGUUCAAAGCUAAGCGCACAUAUUCUGAAUCGAGAUAGUAAGCUCAUUGGAAUUCUUCAGCCUGCGCUUGGUGGUAAUGCGAAGACUUGCAUUAUAUGCACUAUAGCAACAUCAAAGCUUCUCUUGGUGCAACUGAAAUCACAACGAGCCUUCUUUCAACUCUAGAUUCAUAGUUCUCAAAGAUAAUGGAUUGUCAGAAAGCUGGUAACAACGUAGAGCAUCCUUUAUCUGAUCAAUGGGAAACACUUCGUGUGAGUCUGAAGAAUACAACCUCAUCGUUGGUGUCAUACAUACAAACACCAUGUGAAAUUCUUAACUCCCAAGAAAAGCCUGUCAUAUCUAAGACAGGUUUUGAAUGUGAUUUGAAGGGACAAGAAACAACUGCUCUGGAGGCGGAGAAGCUGAAGUCUGAGCUCCGCAUUGAGGAAAGAUAUAGCGACCUGUUGAAAGAGUCAUCUUUGGAUAAACAGCUUCUAGAAGCUUCAAAAGAGAGCCAUGAGAGACUCGAAAAGGAGGUACAAUUCUUAAAGGAAGAAAGAGAUUCAUUAGAUGUAACAGUCUCUCAAUCUACUCACGGGAUGAGAGUGAUUACAUCUGAUAAAGAGAAUGCUCUGAAAGAUCUUCAUGUGGAAUUGAAGAGAAGGGAAUAUAUGGAGAAAGAGAUUAAGCAAAUCAGCUUCGCUUUCUUCUAGCAGGCAGAGAUCUCUUAUGUGUUUUCACGAUGAAACAAAAUCCAAAAUGCAGAAAUUAAUGACGCAGAAUCUAAACUGAAAUAGUAGAAACAGUUUUUUGUGUUAAAGUUUAAUUUUUUCACUCGAGGUUUAAUGUUUUCACUAUAACAUUAGAUAAUGAUGAUUAUAAAGCUUAUGUACAACACUCUGUAUUGUACCCCAAACUUAUUUAACCAUGUCUAAUCAAAAUAAACUGUGUAUAAAUUAAAUUAAGAUGUUACUAAACAUGUGUUAAUCAGCUAAUGGAAAAUGAUACAAUCUUU